rnacentral:lncRNA from 1 species
ACGGUACACAUGCUUUUAAAUGAGGUCUCAUCUCUGAGUUAGAGUAAACUGUCAAGACUUAAAACUUACUUACUUUACCUUUCACCAUGGGACUUGUACCCGUCACUUCUGUCUUGAGUGGUUACAAGAUAGAAGAGUCCCGUCAAGUGCCAUGUUUCUUAUUCUUGAUCAGCUAUAGCUCUGGAGUUUUUGCAGAUUUUCAAAUAAAACUCAGAGAUUCCUUUGUAUGACUCUCUCAUAUCUCUCUUUUGUGGUAUUUCUGGAUCCUUACCAAGGCAGUGAUGGUAUAUGCCUUCUCUCAAAAUAUGUGGUAUUUGUGGUAUAAGGCAUAGUGACAUUGCCUUCUCUCUCACCCUACUCUAAUAAGGCUUUAAUAUUUGGAGCUCAUAGGUGGGAGAUAAAGUAUACAUACUUACAAGACAUUUAUUGUAUAGUCAAACCAUGGAUCCAAAGAAACAAAUCAAUAAGCCAAAUCAAGAUGUGCAUGUGUGGCGAAUGAAUGGUGUAUAAUGAUGAUGGUGAUAACAAUGGUGAAAGUCUAAUUCUACUUUUGCUCUUUUGAGGGGAUACAUACCUUCCUUGCUUUUUGAAACUUUAUGAGGAGAAUGAGAUGCUCUUCUUUUUCUUUCCACUCAGGUGGGUAUCUUGUACCCCUAAUUCUACUGUCGGACACUUGUCCAUUUUUACCUCUCGUCUCACUUUUUUUUUCUUUUCUUUCGAGGUUCCGGGCACUUGCCCCUUUUUAUUUCCUCGUUUAUUUUUUUUCUUUUCUUUUUUUUCUUCUUUUUUUUUCAGAGCACUCAUCUCUUGAGAUAAUAUAACAAGUGGUAGUAGCAAGAUAACUUGAGCAUUUAUUUCACAAGGGAAAAACAUAGAUGCUCAACCUUCCCAUAUCAUAUCCGUUAACAACUUAGAUUUCAGAUCAAGUUUUCAUCCCACAAGUUUAGAUCUAGAGCAAGCUUUAAAUUAUAAUAGUUAUGUCUAAACUUGAGAGAGAACUUUAAAUUUGCAAAUUAGGCAGAGCAACUAUUCAUCAUAUCCAUGCUAGCGUUUUAUUAUUAAGAUUCAUAGCAAACUUUAUUUAUUUAUUUAUUUAUUUAGCAAACUAAGAAAAGAUAUAUAUAUAUAAGCAUAAAAUCUUUAUUUGGUUUUUUCAUAGUUUAUGUAUUUUAAUAUUCUAAUAUAAUAUAAGUAUAAAGAUAGGUAGAAAUACUUAGCGAGAUAAAUAGGGGUGCUCUCCCCCAAGCUGAAUUUUGACGUAAUUUCUCUUGAUGUAGCUAGCAGGUGGCAGAGGUGUAUUUGAAAGUCAGCAGCAUUCUGACAACUAUUAGAAUGUCCUCCAUCUGCUAGUCUUCUUGAUUCUUAAAUUCUGUGGAGCUCAAAUAGACAACAAAGCUUGUGGAACUAAUUAAGUGUUAGCAUAAAUAUCUAGCCUUCAUCACGUUGAGCUUCCUCAAUAAAUAUUACUCCCUGUUUUUAUAUUUUUAUUUUAUAAAGUAGAAAAGAAAUAUUUAUUUUAUUUUUAUGCCACCACAGUGAAUGUACUUAUGGGUUUUAUGCCACUCGUAUACUCACAUGGGGCUUAGUAUUUUUUAACAUUUUUAUUUUCUUUUCAAGAUAGCAUGAUUAACUAAAAAUCUAUUUAAGGAAAGUAAAUAAUUAAAGGGAAAAGGGAAUGCAUAAAGGAUAAAUAUGGAUAACUACUGAUCUUACCUUUCGGCGAGGGUUCAAUGUUUUAAGUCUUCUGAAUAAGACUUCUCACCGUCUUCAUUCUUCAGGUGCGUCAUUUGAUUCAGGUGCGGACCUUGACGUCUGCACCUUUUAAUACGGUGUCACCCAUGUUCUUCGUUUGCCCAGCAGUUCGAAGUGAGGUGUUAGCAGUAUCUUGCUCAGUGUGUUUGUGCUCGUAGUGUCCCUGCUCAUCGAGACAAGGCAGAGAUCAAGUGCAUGGGCCCUGUUGGUGGAAAACACCAACAGAACCAAAAGUGUAUUUGUUCUUCUCUAACCUUAAGCAUAGUGAGCAAGACAAAGUUGAUGGAUGAUAAGUUCAUGAGUGUAGCACUUAUAACAUUUGUCAGAUCAGAUCGCUCAACCUUAUGGAAAGAUAAUCUAUUUAUGUAUAUGUCCAUUUCUUUAUAUCUCUCAAUGAUUGAAUGUGUAACAUUUUAGCUCAUAUGAUUAGGAGUGUGGGAUCAUGGAGGUAGUACUAAGAACAAGGAUUAAAGGACUAAACAUGUUUAAUCAGUUGGGUUGGUUAAUCUAGAGUUGUAAAUCAUACACGUUUGUCUCUUUUAUUUAUAUGAACGCCAGAACCAAGGAGAAACUUAUAAAAGUGAUAGUCAAGUACCUUAAGAUGUUACCUUGCUUGAAGAGUGAUGGUAUAGUAUGAUCUUGUGGAAGCUUUCCUUUCUUAGCGGUUGAGCGUCGUGUUUGUGGCACCCUCCAUAGAUCAUCUCUUUAUGAUGAAUGAGCUAUGUCCUUCUUGUGCUAAUUGUUAAACUUCAUGUGUCACUUUCUUCGUCUCUGAUGUGAGUUUAUCUCAGGACUUCCCAAAUCGAUAUCGAAAGUUUUUCUGCGGGGGUUAGUCCGACAAAAUAUACCAAUAUCUACUCAAGCAGUUUUUUUAGUUCAAUAACCAAACUAGACUCCAUGUCUAAUCAGAUUAAGGAAGGCUAUUCAACCUAAGCACCAUGCUUAAUUUAAAUGCCAAUGGAAGUAUGGCGAGUACUUCCAAACCAACACUUGCUAGUAAAUAGACAAAGGUAGCAUGACAGCAUUUAUAGAGAUUUACUCAUGUGGAGAUGAAGUAGUGUGAUUAGUAUUUAACAAAUUGAGCAUGUCUCAAAGGU